GACAGAGGGUGCAAACGUUGUUCGGAAUUACUGGGCGUAAAGCGUGUGUAGGCGGUCCACUAAGUCGGGUGUGAAAGCCCUGGGCUCAACCCAGGAAGUGCACUCGAAACUGGCGGGCUAGAGUAUCGGAGAGGUUGGUGGAAUUCUCGGUGUAGAGGUGAAAUUCGUAGAUAUCGGGAGGAACACCAGUGGCGAAGGCGGCCUUCUGGACCAGUACUGACGCUCAUGCACGAAAGCGUGGGGAGCAAACAGG
rnacentral:rRNA from 1 species